CUCUUGUCUUUUGAAUACACAUAGGGAAAUUGGGGAGUGAGAUAGUGAUACAUGUACCUGGAAUUUAUUAAUGUGUUACAGUGUCUAUUUAAUAAGUAAGAAUAAUUUUAACCAGAGAAACAAUGGAUGACUUUUUACUUGGUUUGAAGUUGACAAAAAAAGAAAGGAAGGAUACCAUCACUGUUUCCUGGAAGCAAAGAAGUUUUCUUGGUAUUGGAGGGGACCGGACUCAAAUCUACGAACUAUAUGAAUAUGAAACAACUGGUGGACGCAUUCUUCCCAUAUACAUACAAACUGAUUUUGAAAAACCUGACAUAAUUUUCUGCGAUUGGCGUAUACAAUACGGGAUGAACAACGGGGUACUUUUUCUGGUUUAUCACAACAAGGAACAGAAACCAUAUCAACAUCGCUUUGUUUCCAGUCAGAUGCAAAAGUCAACAAAUCCACUAAACAUAUUGGCAAACGAGCUUGAUCUGGCGUGGGCUGAUGGAGACUAUCUCCAUGAUAUAUAAACAACAGUUUUGUGUGUUCUGAUACUCUGUGGCUUUGAGCUUUAUCUAUAAUGACAUUAUGUCUAGAAACGGUAACUUCGAAUAUAUAAAAAAUGAACUUUCCUCCCUGGUUCUGUUAAGAAAGCGUUAUCUGUUUGUUUAAGCUUACACAAUAACCCAUCACUUAAAUGAGAUGUUGAAAUACGACUAGUGCUGGUGUCUUUGGCUGGUUAUGAUACAACUAAAUACAUUUUCUCAUUGAAAUAAAAAAAAAAAUGUAAGAAAACUAGAUCAAUAAAUAAUGCAACUGCUUUAAUACCUUUGGAACUAUUACAGAAUGUAUUAAGUUACUUGUACUGUUUCUAAAGGAAGGCAUUCCGCAGGUCUGGAUAAAAUUCACGGCUUCUUAUGACGUUUUUGCUUAACUCUUACACUAGGCCUGCGGCAUCGAUUUUCUCAUAUUCUCACAUUUGCCAGGAUUCACCAAAAUUGCAUUAUUUAUUAUUAUUUUCUGAUAACAAAAUAUCUUCAUAUGUUUUUCACUGUCCAUUUAUAAAAUAUAAAAUUGUCACUUCUGGAAAAGAAUCCGUUGCUAUGUGAGAAUUAUUUUAAGGACAUUGUUAUGUGACAGCGCACUUUUAUCAUAAAUGUAAAGAAAUAGUUUUACGAUAAAAAUAUAGCAAAAUGUCUUAAACAUAGUUCUAUUUAUUUUAGAGUUGAACAAUAUACAAUGGCCGUCGUUAUUUGGGCAAUAAAUGAAGAAAAUUCAAAAAUAUUGGUAUAUAAACUUUACAGCAAUUCUCAGAUUAUGCCUGUCGUCGUUUAGCUACACGUACGUAUACGCUGGAAUGCUUACUAGUAAAUGUUUUCAAAUUGAGAUGAGUUUCAUUCAUCACUUCGAGUUUUAUUGUAUAACUGUGAAUAUUAUGCGUUCUGUUUUUGUUUGUUUACGUUUCGCCUAACAUGUGCACAAGGCCGUGACGUCUAGACCGGAAGUUCAUGAGGGAAGUUCAUCCAAGUUGUUUUUUUUUCUUUCACGUUGAUGAAAGCAUCAAAUAUGUGGAGUGUCUCUGCGAUAUGAAAUAUUAAGAUAAUGUGGCUGGUGGGAGAUAAACUACCACUUGUUCAAUUUGCAGUUUGCGAACUGCGCAUUUUAUGUUGAGAUAAGUGCGAUUAAAAUGCAUAUGUGCAUUUUCUCCUUCAUGACCAUGGUUCUUGUAGUAUACCUAGGGAAAAGGUAUAACAUCUACAGUCGCUUUUCUCUUUCUGGUUUGGUGCGAAUGGGUACCCAUUCAAGCUGACGAAAAAAGAUUGAAAAAAAAAUGACAUUGAGUAAAAUAUUUAUGUGUGUUUGUAUUGGGUUUAGCUCUGUUUUUCAACAGUAUUUCAGUUAUGUAACGGCGGGCAGUUAACCUAAUCAGAAAUUUUAACAGCUUACAAAAUAUAUUGACAUUUUAACAUUAUCUAUUAUAUGAAAUGGUAGGUAUUCUGGACACAUUCGCGCCAUCUUUCUCAAUAUAUUUGUACGUAUAACCAAAAAAUUGCUUUAAAUAGUAUUAAACAAUUAAUUAUGGAACUUUUAAUAUUUAGACUAAGAUUCACAUGAUAUAAUGAUCAUCGAGAUAUAUUUAACUUAAUUGUUAUUAAUAAAUUAACUAUAAUUGUUAUACUCGUACUCGAAUAAGGGUCAUUUUUUUUUAUAAACGGUUGCCGUUUUAUUACAUUGGUACUAUUCAAGUGGCUAUUUCUGUUUUGUUUCUUAUUUCCGAAAAUGUCCUGUUUAUUUUUCAGUACGCUCCUCUUUCAUUUGUAUUGCAUAUUUCUCAUUAAAUUCAAGCAAGGUGGCUUGAAUGUAAGUGACAGGAAUUUUAAAGGGAAUAGGAAACCUUUCUGAUUUAACUAAAGGUGCACAAUUCUUACCAUUUUGUAAAUGGCAGUAAUAUACUUAGUCGAAUACUACUAUAUAACACCAUGUUGUUGAAGUCACUUUAUUUUGGAAUAUAAGAUCUUAGUAUAAUAAACUUAUUUUCUAGCAUAGAUUGAAAUCAUGUUACAUAAAGCAUAUUCAGUAUAAAUUCGAAUAGCUACACGACGACUGCGUUAUGUCUAAAUAUUUGGACACCUCAUCUUGUAAAGACAGAAUCCAUUCUGUAUCUGACCUUGCGGACGUCAUUUUAUAUGUGCCAAAUCUGAUUGCGCACGCAUUUUACGGAUCCCUAAAUUGAGUAAUAUCAAUAGCUUCACUGAAACACCAAUACCUUACACAUGUAAAAAGGACGGAGAAUGAGAAGGAAGUGGUUACAGAGUUGUGUUAAUUUAUUUAUAAUAAUUUCCCCAUAUCAAAUGCGAAGUCUCUCUAAAUUAAAAGUUUAGUAUUUGUGUGAUCAUUGCUCAUUUCAUCAAAUUUCAAAUUUUAUUCUACGAACAGCGGAUAUUCGAUAUAACGGUAUCAAGACAUAAACGAAGCUACUCAAAUUGUUAAUGUAUUAUGUUUUGUAAAUGGCCAAAGGCAAUUUUAUAUUGCUGAAUUUUGCCAAUAAACUUGAAACCUGAAACUUGUUAAUGACUAUGAAAAUAACUUUUCUUCAAACAGUGACAUUUAAAUUAAUGAAAGAAGCCGAGAAAGUGAAAAUUAUCAAGUUAGUUAGUUCUGUAUUGUCAUCGGUACUCUUAAGCUUUAAUUAGUAAUUUAUCUAUAUUUACAAUAGAAAAUAUGUGGAGAAUGAACAUUAAGAGAUUGUAUUUUUUAUCAAUCGACAAUAAAUGGCUAAAGAUUAAAUUAAAGAAGUAUA